rnacentral:rRNA from 1 species
GGGCUCUACCUGCACUCAUACCAAACUUUAGCGUCCUGACACCUGGUGCUCUAGGACUGUGCCACACAGA